UCCUUUUUAGGUUUUAUAGUCACAUGUUUCAAAAUGUCUUUAUCUUGAGAUGCUGAGGUCAUAUGCAUCUUCAUUGAAAUCAACAUCCAUUCCAGCAUAAUUAUUCCUUUGGUACCUAGAAAAACUGUUCAGCUUUUUCUUCCCAGGAUCAUUCUCCAAGUCUUCCAGGACCAUCCUCAUUUAGUGUAUAUUUACAGAAAUGAUAACAAUAACAGUAGUAAAGUUUUAUUAGGUAAGAUUGGCUGAAUACAAAUUUAGGAUGUGUCAAAAGUAAAGCUGAACUAUUUCUAGAUUUGUGAUUUGAGUUCUUUGUAUUUAGUUGAAAAGUUGAGAUUUUAUUAUACUUUUUCUUCAUUUUUUGUAGAACAAUAUCUUUUUUACCAUGGACAAAAACUGUUUUCUUUGGCCAGCAAACAACUAAAGUAUUUAAAGUAUUUUAGCAGUUAUCCGUUGAAUGAACUACUCUUUGUACAAUAUCUGUCAUGUUAUAAUAACUCACAUAUUUAUGGAAGUUGAUAUUAUA
rnacentral:lncRNA from 1 species